GGGAUAAUAGGGUAGGGUUGGCUCGGCGAAGAUGAGGUGUGGUUGUAAAUGCAACCACAAAAAUAAAAAAUAAAAAAUAAAGUGAUUGUCCCGCGACGUGACGCGAGAGGAAGAGGAGUUUCUUGAAUCAUGGUUCAUCCAUUUCCGGAAUUUCCAUUCAUGCGCGAGCUGAGAGCGGUGGAGUGCAGUGGUGGGUGGAGCAUUUGAACAUUCUAGUUGGAACAACACACCAACUGUUCGACGUUGGUUUAUAACAUCCUAUCCUAUCCUACCGGCUACCUCGUACUCCAUAUCUCGUACCAUGCGCACUCUCUCCCUUCCAUGCCUCUCCUCUUCUCUUUACACUCACACUCUCGCUCUCACUCUCUCCCACCGUUACCACUGUCGCCUCUCCCCACGUUCUUCUUUCAUCCUCACACCCCACAGACGCUCUCACUUCCUCACCCCAUGCUCCUCCCUCAGACAGACUCAGAGAGACCCCAAAAAGCAAUUGGGGGCCAAGAUCAACACUGCCCCCUCCGACUCUGCCUUAAAGCGUUUGUUUAGCCCCAACGAUUCCCAAGGAGACGGGGACGCCGCCGACAACACCGACUCCCGCUCUGACUUCCAGGACGCCACAGCCUUCAAAGGCACCCUUUUGGCCGGUUUCUUACUCCUCGGUGUCAUCGGCGGUUUUGCCUCCGUUGGCUAUAUCUACAGGGACCAGAUCAACUCCUUCUUAAACCAACUCUCCCUUUUUAUUGAAGGAUAUGGUCCUGCUGGAUAUGCAUUAUUCGUUGCCGUUUAUGCUGGAUUGGAGAUCCUUGCGAUUCCUGCCAUUCCUUUGACCAUGUCAGCUGGACUUCUAUUUGGAUCUGUUGUUGGCACUAUCAUAGUCUCUAUCAGUGGAACGGUGGCAGCCAGUGUUGCUUUUCUAAUUGCAAGAUAUUUUGCUCGUGAGCGAAUUCUAAAACUAGUGGAAGGAAAUAAGAAGUUUCUUGCUAUUGACAAAGCUAUUGGAGAAAAUGGCUUCAGGGUUGUGACGCUGCUUCGAUUGAGUCCUCUGCUGCCAUUUUCUUUGGGGAAUUAUUUAUAUGGAUUGACAUCUGUUAAGUUUAUUCCAUAUGUACUGGGAAGUUGGUUGGGGAUGCUUCCAGGAACUUGGGCUUAUGUUAGUGCUGGGGCCUUUGGAAGAGCAAUAAUUCCCAAAUCACUUGGACCAUCUCCUCCUCCUCUUAUCACCUCCCAACAACGAACUCCAAUGAUUGGUCCAAUGGAACAUGGUGAGUCCUCUUCAUCAAGUCCUUCACCAUUGCCAUUCCAUACUACAAAUCCAUGAAGAUUCCAAUUGGCCUAUUGCCGUUCAAAAAGCAAGAUGAAUCCGAACUUAGUAAUAUAUUUGGAGGAAACAGUCAGCUGCUAACUCUUGGGCUGGGACUGUUGGCCACUGCAUUGGCUGCUACAUAUGUCACACGACUUGCAAAGGAUGCUAUAAAGGACAUCGAAUAGACCUUCUAGACAAAACCCAGCAUUGGGAAUGAAGAGAAACUCACUUGAAUAGAUUGGAAAUUGAUAUCUGAAUAAAUAAACAUCGAUAAUGAUAGGAUAACUACGGAAAGUAAUAGACCCAGCUCGUCCCUUGUAAAUUAGAACAUUAGUUUUGACAGGUAGGAUCAUUUUGUAUCUUUUGCAAUGUUCCCCCCUUCAAUUGCACCAAAAGUUUGCUUGUGUCAUGCCAUAUAUAAAGUUAUGACGCAUUAAUUUCUUAAC